UGUGAACCUCCUUUUCACUGUAGCUAAAAGACCUCCAAUGGAGUAGCGACACCUGUCAUGCUCUCUGACCUUUUUUUAUUUUUUUUUCACUCUGAAAGUUGAAAACGACGCCGUUUCCGCUUCAGCACUGUUUCUCUCCAAUCUCUCAUCAACCCUAGCUGGCAAUCGCGUGUUUCCUCUCCUUUCUACCCACUCUGCCGUACAAUUCAUCAUCUUUCGUUUCUCUUCCGCCUCCAAUCUCCCUUCAACCCUAGCUGGCAAUCACGUCACCUUGACCAGAAGAUCUGCUUUCCACGAUCUGCGGCUUCUUCUCAUGGCUUCUCCGGUGCUGGCUUUCACGUCAAUCCUUCAACCAAUACGUGGGGUGAGAAGAUUGAAGCAAAUGUGCAGCAAUCAAUGAUACUAAAAUUAUGUAGUUGCUUCCUGGAACAUGUAUUCAAUUGAUCUUGGUUGGAGUAACUAAACUUGAUUUUAAUCACUUCCUUUGAGUUGUUAUUACUGUUGAUUUUGAAUACUGGAAGCAUGUAGUUUCCAAGUCUUAUCUAAAUGGGAUGGGAAUUCAAUAGUCCAAUAUGUGGGAUGUUAUGGAUAUGAGAUCGAUCCAUGGAGGGUUUGCUGCAACUUUGAAGGAUUUGAAAGUUUGGGUAAUGAAUGUGGUUACAAUAGAUACACUUCCUAUUAAUUAUGAACGAGAUCCUAUGAAUCUACAAUACAUGCUUUGUACCAGUUCUAUGUAUCAUCUUUGGAAAGUUUUGGUGCACACAUCUUAGCGUAAGAUCCAUAUUCUGCUCAUAAUUAAGAAUUGAUUGGCUCUAUUAACACAAAUACUGUGGGAUGCAUCUUGAAAUUGAAUGGAAGGUAGUUAUAAUUCUGUCAUUGCUUUAUUAAGUGCAAAAUUAAUUUUAUUUGAAUCUUCCACAACUAGGAGUACUAUCAUUCUAGGGAUAAACAAGAAUGAGUUGCUAAUAAGUACAUGCUGCAUCUUAUAUCGCAGAAAACAACCAGACUAUCUUAUUCCUUUGCAGAAGGAUGGAAGAAUGUCAUCGCUUCACAUUAUGGUUAUUAGUGGUCCGUAAAUAUUGAUGUAGAGAGCUUGCCAUGGGUUCCUCACACUGAGGGUUGAUUUUGCUGAUGAGAGAACUCUGCCAUAAUUGACUUUGACAGACAUCAGAGAGACUUUCAAGAGGCUUGUGGCUGAAUUGAAGAAGACCCAUAAAGAAAUCUUGGAUGCUAUGAAGAACCAAACUGUAGAUUUGGUCUCAACUAGUCACCCUACUCAGUCUGUCAGUAGAUCUUUACUGCAAUAGCAUGGAAGGUCUGUCCAUGGCUUUACUUUCCUGUCAUAACUAAGGAGGACUUAUGUAGUUCAUUUGUUGUAGAAGUUUCUUUUUGGAAGAAGAAAUUCAAAUAGGAAAAGAAAAAAAAACAAAGUUACCUCUAGGAGUUCCCAUAAGGGAAGUUCCCUUCCACAUCCUAUCAUUUAGAUUCAUUGGAAACUGGAAAUGCAUGUCUUGUAUAAACAAGAAAUGUUAAUAUUGUUUCUGGAAUUGUGACAAUUAUAGAAUAA